rnacentral:rRNA from 1 species
CAGGGCUACACACGUGCUACAAUGGUCGGUACAAAGGGUUGCCAAGCCGCGAGGUGGAGCUAAUCCCAUAAAACCGAUCGUAGUCCGGAUCGCAGUCUGCAACUCGACUGCGUGAAGUCGGAAUCGCUAGUAAUCGUGAAUCAGAACGUCACGGUGAAUACGUUCCCGGGCCUUGUACACACCGCCCGUCACACCAUGGGAGUGGGUUGCUCCAGAAGUAGCUAGUCUAACCGCAAGGGGGACGGUUACCACGGAGUGAUUCAUGACUGGG